AGAACGAACGCUGGCGGCAUGCCUAAUACAUGCAAGUCGAACGAACUCUUCGGAGUUAGUGGCGCACGGGUGCGUAACGCGUGGGAAUCUGCCCCUUGGUUCGGAAUAACAGUUGGAAACGACUGCUAAUACCGGAUGAUGACGAAAGUCCAAAGAUUUAUCGCCAAGGGAUGAGCCCGCGUAGGAUUAGCUAGUUGGUGAGGUAAAGGCUCACCAAGGCAACGAUCCUUAGCUGGUCUGAGAGGAUGAUCAGCCACACUGGGACUGAGACACGGCCCAGACUCCUACGGGAGGCAGCAGUGGGGAAUUUUGGACAAUGGGGGCAACCCUGAUCCAG
rnacentral:rRNA from 1 species